rnacentral:rRNA from 1 species
UACGUAGGGGGCAAGCGUUGUCCGGAUUUAUUGGGCGUAAAGAGCGUGUAGGCGGUUAGGUAGGUCCGUUGUGAAAACUCGAGGCUCAACCUCGAGACGUCGGCGGAAACCAUCUGGCUAGAGUCCGGAAGAGGAGAGUGGAAUUCCUGGUGUAGCGGUGAAAUGCGCAGAUAUCAGGAAGAACACCCGUGGCGAAGGCGGCUCGCUGGGACGGUACUGACGCUGAGACGCGAAAGCGUGGGGAGCGAACAGG